UACAGAGGGUGCAAGCGUUGUUCGGAAUUAUUGGGCGUAAAGCGCGUGUAGGCGGUGAUGCAUGUCGGGUGUGAAAGCCCUCAGCUUAACUGAGGAAGUGCGCCCGAAACUGCAUCGCUGGAGUGUCGGAGAGGAAGGCGGAAUUCCCGGUGUAGAGGUGAAAUUCGUAGAUAUCGGGAGGAACACCAGUGGCGAAGGCGGCCUUCUGGACGAA
rnacentral:rRNA from 1 species